rnacentral:rRNA from 1 species
CCUACGGGGGGCAGCAGUGGGGAAUAUUGCGCAAUGGGCGAAAGCCUGACGCAGCGACGCCGCGUGAGGGAUGAAGGUCUUCGGAUCGUAAACCUCUGUCAGCAGGGAAGAACGGUCACUGUGCUAAUCAGCAGUGAAUUGACGGUACCUGCAAAGGAAGCACCGGCUAACUCCGUGCCAGCAGCCGCGGUAAUACGGAGGGUGCGAGCGUUAAUCGGAAUUACUGGGCGUAAAGCGCUCGUAGGCGGUAUGUCAAGUCAAGGGUGAAAGCCCCGCGCUCAACGUGGGAACUGCCUUUGAAACUGGCAAACUGGAGUGUGUGAGAGGAUAGUGGAAUUCCAGGGGUAGGAGGGAAAUCCGUAGAUAUCUGGAGGAACAUCAGUGGCGAAGGCGACUAUCUGGCACAUAACUGACGCUGAGGAGCGAAAGCGUGGGUAGCAAACAGGAUUAGAUACCCCAGUAGUC